rnacentral:rRNA from 1 species
CGGUGUUCAACUGGCGUGUCCGCGGGACGUCCUGCCGGUGGGCUUAGCCCGCAAGGGCGGCCCAACUUCAAAUCCCAUCGCGGUGCUCUUCACUGAGUGUCGAGGUGGGCCGGCACGUUUACUUUGAACAAAUUAGAGUGCUUAAAGCAGGCUAAAACUUCGCCUGAAUACUGUGUGCAUGGAAUAAUGGAAUAGGACCUCGGUUCUAUUUUGUUGGUUUUCGGAACCCCGAGGUAAUGAUUAAUAGGAACGGAUGGGGGCAUUCGUAUUGCGACGUUAGAGGUGAAAUUCUUGGAUCGUCGCAAGACGGACAGAAGCGAAAGCAUUUGCCAAAAACGCUUUCAUUGAUCAAGAACGAAAGUUAGAGGUUCGAAGGCGAUCAGAUACCGCCCUAGUUCUAACCAUAAACGAUACCAGCUAGCGAUCCGUCGACGUUCCUCCGAUGACUCGACGGGCAGCUUCCGGGAAACCAAAGCUUUUGGGUUCCGGGGGAAGUAUGGUUGCAAAGCUGAAACUUAAAGGAAUUGACGGAAGGGCACCACCAGGAGUGGAGCCCUGCGGCUUAAUUUGACUCAACACGGGAAACCUCACCAGGCCCGGACACCGGAAGGAUUGACAGAUUGAGAGCUCUUUCUUGAUUCGGUGGGUGGUGGUGCAUGGCCGUUCUUAGUUGGUGGAGCGAUUUGUCUGGUUAAUUCCGAUAACGAACGAGACUCUAGCCUGCUAACUAGGCGUAUUUUCGACAUCUCAAAGGUCCGUCGUCCCGGCCCUCGGGUCGUGGGCGUGCGCGAUUUUUACUGUCGGCGUACUAUCAAUUCUUCUUAGAGGGACAGGUGGCUUCUAGCCGCACGAGAUUGAGCAAUAACAGGUCUGUGAUG